rnacentral:rRNA from 1 species
GAUGAUGCCCACUUGUGGGUGGAUUAGUGGCGAACGGGUGAGUAACACGUGAGUAACCUGCCCUUGACUCUGGGAUAAGCCUGGGAAACUGGGUCUAAUACCGGAUAUGACCUUCCAUCGCAUGGUGGUUGGUGGAAAGCUUUUGUGGUUUUGGAUGGACUCGCGGCCUAUCAGCUUGUUGGUGGGGUAAUGGCCUACCAAGGCGACGACGGGUAGCCGGCCUGAGAGGGUGACCGGCCACACUGGGACUGAGACACGGCCCAGACUCCUACGGGAGGCAGCAGUGGGGAAUAUUGCACAAUGGGCGCAAGCCUGAUGCAGCGACGCCGCGUGAGGGAUGACGGCCUUCGGGUUGUAAACCUCUUUCAGUAGGGAAGAAGCGUAAGUGACGGUACCUGCAGAAGAAGCGCCGGCUAACUACGUGCCAGCAGCCGCGGUAAUACGUAGGGCGCAAGCGUUAUCCGGAAUUAUUGGGCGUAAAGAGCUCGUAGGCGGUUUGUCGCGUCUGCCGUGAAAGUCCGGGGCUCAACUCCGGAUCUGCGGUGGGUACGGGCAGACUAGAGUGAUGUAGGGGAGACUGGAAUUCCUGGUGUAGCGGUGAAAUGCGCAGAUAUCAGGAGGAACACCGAUGGCGAAGGCAGGUCUCUGGGCAUAACUGACGCUG